GUGCUCGCCUGGGCAGCACAUAUACUAAAAUUGGAACAUACAGAGAUUAGCAUGACCCCUGCGCAAGGAUGACAUGCAAAUUCGUGAAGUGUUCCAUAUUUUG